CCUACGGGAGGCAGCAGUGAGGAAUAUUGGUCAAUGGGCGCGAGCCUGAACCAGCCAAGUCGCGUGAGGGAUGACUGCCCUACGGGUUGUAAACUUCUUUUAUAAGGGAAUAAAGUGAGGCACGUGUGCCUUUUUGUAUGUACUUUAUGCAUAAGGAUCGGCUAACUCCGUGCCAGCAGCCGCGGUAAUACGUAGGAUCCGAGCGUUGGCCGGAUUUAUUGGGUUUAAAGGGAGCGUAGAUGGGUUGUUAAGUCAGUUGUGAAAGUUUGCGGCUCAACCGUAAAAUUGCAAUUGAUACUGGCAGCCUUGAGUACAGUUGAGGUAGGCGGAAUUCGUGGUGUAGCGGUGAAAUGCUUAGAGAUCACGAAGAACUCCGAUUGCGAAGGCAGCCUACUAAACUGUAACUGACAUUGAUGCUCGAAAGUGUGGGUAUCAAACAGGAUUAGAUACCCUUGUAGUC
rnacentral:rRNA from 1 species